rnacentral:lncRNA from 1 species
GCCUUUGCAGAAAAUUUUCAGGAUAUGAGAGGUGAAGGGAUAAGGUGACGACCUGGUGAAGUUUUGGGCAAGUUUGGGCGAAUUGGGACUUUCUAGGUCUUGGCUCUAAUUCGAAAUCGAAAGUGUUUUGGGGGGAAUCGAGAACAAUGGAAUGGAGAUUUGGUGUAAGAGGGUGAAGGGGAGUUCAUGAUGUGAAGUUUAGGCGGACUGAGCCGCCGGAAUCGCCGUGGAGCGAUUCCCGGUAGGUAGAGUAACGCGAAGGCUUCUUGAUUAGGGUUAGGGUAACUGGUCUCUUAGAG